rnacentral:lncRNA from 1 species
UGGAUCACAGGAUGUGAAGAGCUGGACUCUACCAAUGGAGGUGGGGAGGAACAUCUUUCUAAUGGAAAGACUGCCUCGCAGAUCCUGUUGAAUGUUGUGCUCUGAUUUUUGACAUAAUUGCUUGUAUCCAUUCCCCUUUCUGAUGCAUCAAUCUGUUGCAGCCAAUCUCCUGUUGCGCCUGUCGCCGGUGAAGAACAUCUGCAAAAUGAAGUCCAUAUUGAUCGAAAUUAUGUCCGACGGAGAUCCUCUGAUGCUUAAGUCAGUGAGGAGUGAUGAACAACAGAUGAAAAAUAUUUGAAAUGACAGAGUCUAAGUCUAGAAUUGUCUUAUUAAUGCUGUUCAUUUACCUUCCUUUUAUAGGUGAUUCA